rnacentral:lncRNA from 1 species
UUAUAUAUGAGGGGGAAUCCCAAUAUAGUACAAGUGAAUUUAUUACAAAAAUAUGGGAUGUGACAACUAGUUGACGCCUAUGAUUCGGGCUCAGGCUCUAGCUUCACGUCUUGGGAACUCCCCACUUUCAUUCCGUAAUCACCAGUCUCAUAUUGCUUCGAGGUCGAUCAUCGAUGGCCCUCGAGGGAUGAAACCGAUCACGGUCUCGAGCCUCCGAGGCGUGCCUUCAAGGUGUCGUAACUAAAAAAAUUGGACCCUUCAAUUUUACCGUAUACAUAAUUCUUUAUCACCUAAUGAUUCUUAAAAGGAAGUUGAAUAAGUAAGAUGCACUUGAUAAAUUCGCACUUCAAUUCAUGACCUUGAAGAGAGUUUGAUUUUUGUAAAUUUAAGGGAUCAAGCAAACGAACAUUUUAAGGGCCUAGACCUACACCAAAAUGUGUUAGUAAUGUGUUGAAGUUCUAUACACAAUGAUGGUGUAAAUGCUCAAAAGUCAAAUCGGACCAUUUAUAAGACUGUUGCGAGUAAAACAUCAUGAUGAGGAUGGUUUUUUAAGUUUACAAGCUGGUUAAGUUGGCGUAUAAGUAUAUUUUGGUUUAUUUACGAGUUUGGUAACAUUAAACGUGCUUAUAAGUUAAGUGUUUAUAAGCCUAAAAUAAGCCAAAAGUCAUAAGUUGGUCUCUCCCAACUUAUCAAAUUUCAGAUUAUAAGCACUUUAAGUUUGACUUAAAUAUUUGCUAUUCUAUCCCUAAAAUACUUCUUUUUAGAAUAAAACUCUUUGUAUACCCAGCUCUUCAGCUGCUUAUUAUUAAUUUCAACACUUUUAUCCAAACACAUAACUGCUUUUUUUUAAAAUCAGAUUCAGCAUUAAAAGUACUUUUUACCUUAUCAACAACUCUAAAUUAGCUAAGUCAAACGGGUUCAAGGAGCAUCAUUAGUAACCUAGCUAAUAAAAAUUAUGACGGGCAUGUUUUAUUAGGUUUAGUUACACUAUAAAUCAUGUGAGUGUCUAUAACUUAAAUAGUGUUGCAAUGGAUCCUAUUGCGAUAUGUUCUCCUCGACAGCAAAAAUAGCUUAAUCUAUUACAUACUAUCCAGUAUCAAACGCGUGAUCCAACACAGUAAGAAUUUAGUCGUCUUUAUCAAGACUGCAAUUUGCACUAAACAAAAAAAUUAAACUAACACAUAAAGGAGGAGAAUAAAUUAGGAGCCGCCUAUAUAUUUUGAUCUUAUAAUAGAGGUAAAGAACAAAAUCACUAAUGCGUUAUUCAGAAAACAACCAGCGAAAAAGGCAAAAGGUCACUAAUUAUACUUUCUUUUCUCGGCCAAACUAGCCUGUUAG